GACGAACGCUGGCGGCGUGCUUAACACAUGCAAGUCGAACGGUGAAGGACGGAGCUUGCUCCGACCGGAUCAGUGGCGAACGGGUGAGUAACACGUGAGUAACCUGCCCCAGACUCUGGAAUAACCCCGGGAAACCGGAGCUAAUACCGGAUACGAGACGGAGAGGCAUCUCUACCGUCUGGAAAGUUUUUCGGUCUGGGAUGGACUCGCGGCCUAUCAGCUAGUUGGUGAGGUAAUGGCUCACCAAGGCGACGACGAGUAGCCGGCCUGAGAGGGCGACCGGCCACACUGGGACUGAGACACGGCCCGGACUCCUACGGGAGGCAGCAGUGGGGAAUAUUGCACAAUGGGCGAAAGCCUGAUGCAGCGACGCCGCGUGAGGGAUGACGGCCUUCGGGUUGUAAACCUCUUUCAGCAGGGAAGAAGCGAAAGUGACGGUACCUGCAGAAGAAGCACUGGCUAACUACGUGCCAGCCGCCGCGGUAAGAC
rnacentral:rRNA from 1 species